AGCCUUACAGCUAGCCUACAAUAAAAAGCAACAAACAACUAUGAAUACCCCCUCAGACACUAAAACCUAAAUAAACAAACCAUUUUUCCCCCCAAGUACGGGCGACAGAAAAG
rnacentral:rRNA from 1 species